CAGUAGCCGCGGGAAUACAGAGGGUGCAAGCGUUAAUCGGAAUUACUGGGCGUAAAGCGCGCGUAGGCGGCUUUUUAAGUCGGAUGUGAAAUCCCUGAGCUUAACUUAGGAAUUGCAUUCGAUACUGGGAAGCUAGAGUAUGGGAGAGGAUGGUAGAAUUCCAGGUGUAGCGGUGAAAUGCGUAGAGAUCUGGAGGAAUACCGAUGGCGAAGGCAGCCAUCUGGCCUAAUACUGACGCUGAGGUACGAAAGCAUGGGGAGCAAACAGGAUUAGAUACCCGCGUAGUCCCUGUCUCUUAUAC
rnacentral:rRNA from 1 species